rnacentral:tRNA from 1 species
GGGGAUUUGGCUCAGUGGUAGAGCGCUUGCCUGGCAAGCACAAGGCCCUGGGUUCAGUCCCCA